rnacentral:rRNA from 1 species
CUUCCAUCUGGAAGAAUCUGGAGACAGGUGCUGCAUGGCGUGUCGUCAGCUCGUGUCGUGAGAUGUUGGGUUAAGUCCCGCAACGAGCGCAACCCUUGCCUUUAGUUGCCAGCAGUUCGGCUGGGCACUCUAAAGGGACUGCCGGUGUUAAACCGGAGGAAGGUGGGGAUGACGUCAAGUCCUCAUGGCCUUUAUGACCAGGGCUACACACGUACUACAAUGGCCGAUACAAAGGGCAGCGACACUGCGAGGUGAAGCCAAUCCCGUAAAAUCGGUCUCAGUCCGGAUUGGAGUCUGCAACUCGACUCCAUGAAGUUGGAAUCGCUAGUAAUCGUGGAUCAGCAUGCCACGGUGAAUACGUUCCCGGGCCUU